UGUCCGCAGCCCUGCCUGAAGCAGGACCAGGGAAAUUAGGAAAACUCACCCUGCGCUGCAGAUAGAUUCGCAGACUGGCAUGAGUAAGCUGGGUGAUACCAAAGAGGAAAGGAGGAUUUUGGCCUCUCUAGUAAAUCAGCUUUAGGAAGAACAUUCCUUGCAUUUCCUGCCUUUCUUUUCUUCCCGUCUCCCUCCCCUUCUCCCUCUGCCCCACCCUCCCUUCCUCCCUUGUCCCCCUCCCCCUCUUUCUCCUCCCACCCUUUCUGUCUUUCUUUCUGUUUUGGUUUUUUGAGACGAGAUUUCUCUCUAUGUAGCUCAGUCUGGCCUUGAACUUGCAGCAGUCCUCCCGCCUCUGCAUCCCAAAUGCUGUGAUUACAGAGAUGCACCACCAUGCCCAGCCUUGCCAUUCUUUCUAACCCAAAACUAAAACCAAGAUCUGUCAGUCCCUGAAGCCAUGCUGCCCAUUUUGGACUUUUUGUCUAAAAAUCACAUUUCUGUCUUGUGUCCUUGUUUCUCCUGAGGCCACCUUGAAAGAGGAAACUUUGCACAAAAGCUUUGCAGUUCCCAUUUGGUCCUACAGAGAAGAAGGGAAUGUUGGGUGGAUUGUGAGAGAAGAGGAUUCUGUGCUCGCCUGAUUGAAUCAGGAAUCAAACUCAGGGCCUUGUGCUUGCCGGCAGGUGCUGUACCCGAGUCAUGACCCCGCCCUUAUCUUUCAAACUGCAGCUUCACAUUUGACCUCACCCGGCGGAAACACAAGGGAAAUAGAACCAGUCGAGGCAACAGCGGGUUUGUGCCCUUCAUUCUGGUGACACCAAGGCCUCACCAAGGGGAUGGGUGAUUGCAAUGGCCGCUCUGUCUUUAGAGACAGGGUCUUGCUGCGUGCUUCAGGCUGGCCUCGACUCACUGUGGUGCUGCCCAGGCCAGCUGUUGCCCAGGCCAGUUGAGAGCUCAGGGGCACUCUUGCCUUUGCACCCUGGGUGCUGCCAUGCUUGAUAGGGCACACGGGAAGGGCCAAGGACAGGCAGCUGGAUUUGUGUCAUGUGAUGUUACAGUGAAUACUGGCUGAUUUAAUGAAGGUUUCAGAUUAUUUAGUUAUUUUAUUGGCUCUUGUAUGAAUAAAAGCUUGUAUUCCCCUACUGGAAGAAAAUGGUUUAAAUAUUUUUGAGUGGUAACAAAGCAUAAUCAAGCAGUUACUAAUCCGAGCAUGGUGAUAAAUGCCUGGAAGCCCAGCUACUAAGGAGAUUGAGGCAGGAGGAUUGUAAGUUUGAGACCAGCCUCGGCAAAUUAUAAGGUCUUGUCCUAAAAUGAAAACUAAAAGGGGCUGAGGAUGUAGCUCAGUAGUAAAGUGCCCUGGGUUCUGUGCUCCUGCACCAGGGAAAAAAUAACCAAUGAUUUUAAAAAAGAAAAAAAAAAAAAAAAAAAAAAAACCAACUCAGGCAACUUAGAUGAAAGUCUGGUCAUAAAUAAUCUGAAUUUCUUAGUCGUAGAAUAUAUAGCAAUACUGGCAAUUUUAAUACCAUCACUAAUCAUUUGGAAAUCUCUGACAUUCUUUCCCUGCAAUAUUUGUGUAUUUAGUGGAAACUCUUUAAAAAGUCCUCACUAGACAACAAAAGUUGUUUCAUGGUUAUGAUGUAAUUGUAAGGUACUAUUUCAAGACUGCCAAGAUCAAAGGCUUGAAAUAUGACUGACGAAAAAAAUAUGCAGGAGAGACCCCUCCACCUGACCUUUCAAGGGACCUUAACCAAUAGCAUUUUGCUUUCUGUUAUCAUUAGGUUUCUGGAAACAGAAUCGUACAAAAGAUACAUUCUCCAGAGGCACAUGAAUUAAAAUUAAAAGAGUAAAAACAAAUAAUCUUAAAUGAUGAAAUUCUCCUUUUCAUUUAAACAGUGGGAGAUAGAUGUACUUAAUGUCCUAAAAAUAAAAAUAGGAAAUUGUACUCAGAUUUUGUGUUGGGGAGCUGGUGAUGUAGCUUCCUAGGGAAGCACUUGUGUAGCUCAACAGAACCCUGAGUUCAACCCCAGCACAAUUAACGACAGCAACAAUAAAACAAGGAACAAACGAAACCUUCGAAAAUCCUAAAACAAAACAAAGCAAAAAUAAAAAUAGAAGAAAAUACAUUGAGAACUGGGUCCAAUAUCAAAAUCUGAAAAGAGAUAUCAAGAAAACCGCUUUUAUUGUUUUUGUGUAGACAAAGGAAAUCUCCUAGUGCAUCUCCCUGAGCCUUAGGACGGCUUAUCUUUACAAUUUACAGUUCUUUCCAUACAAUAAAAACAAACUGACAGA